rnacentral:tRNA from 1 species
GUCAGGAUGGCCACCAGACUCAAGUUCUGGUCUUCUAAGAGGGCGUGGGUUCAAAUCCCACUUCUGACA